GGGGUUGUAGCUCAGUGGUAGAGCACUUGCCUAGCACGUAUGAGGCCCUGGGUUCAAUCCUCAGCACCACA
rnacentral:tRNA from 1 species